GUCUACCUGGAGAAGACAGAUGAUUUUAAUGUCUUACAACAAGGGGUCUGCCCCUGUAUACACAAAUUUGGGAACUGUGUUCAUAGCUCGGCCCCUUUCUACUUGGAAAGGACAGACCUUCUGUGGUUGGCUUGUGAAUAAUUGAUAUCUCGGGAGACCAGGCUGAAGUAAGAAAACAAGUGUUACCAUGACAACCUGUUGUAUCUACAGUAUCCCUGAGGUUCCCUCUUUACUAAGAUUCACAAUGUGAAGGAGUCAGCAGCACAUCAUCCAAUGCAUGGGUCUUGCAGUCGUAGCAUCGACUGGGCUUUGAUUUACCUCAUGACAAGGGAGAGGGGAGAGGAGCUCAUCAUACUCCAUGGGAAAUGCCCCGAGCCUUUGAGAGGAAUUCAGAAGACUGAUCACAGUAAUACAUAGAUCAAAAGCAGAUACGCCCUCCACACCAUACGUCACUACAGGAGAAGUAUUUACCUGUGUGACGGGGGAGUGAAGAUAGUCUGAUGAAACGCCCAGAAGGGGCGUGUAACAAUUGUCACUGCGCCUGUGCUUCUGCAAUGGCGUCCUGCGGAUGCUGUACUGCUGCAAUCCUGCACCGAAAAUAAAGAAAACUGCUGCACCGUGAAAUUCACACCACACGGCCCCCAUCUCCACGUCUCAAACAAGGAGGACAAUAGAUUCACAAGCCAAAAACUGUUUUAUAAAUAGAAAAGGAAUUAGAACUAAUUGCAGCAAUUAAUCAUAAAGCGUAUUGUGCGGGAGACAGAUGUUCCUG